rnacentral:siRNA from 1 species
UACCGGUUUCUAUGUCUCUGC